rnacentral:lncRNA from 1 species
CUGCUGCUGCGCUGGCUGGCUAGGUCGCUCUAUGGCCCAUGAGACAAAGGCAUUGCGGUACAAGCCUGGUAGCACGAGUUUGCUCCUUGGAAUCCACGUCAAGCUGGAAAGAAAGAACUGGCUCCUCAAAGAAAAUGGAAAGCUAUGGAUUCCUUAUAGACUAAUAUGGCUUGAUGAAGCAAGGCCCCCUGAAGCAGCAGUGGCCCAACUGACCCUAAAUCCAAAACAGCUGAGAAGAGGCAGUCAUGGACCACUACAGCCAGAUUUCUGUGUUUUGUCAUGAUCCCCAUGAUAUGGACAUUGCCCCAACCAGCAGGAAGCAGUUUGGAAUGAACAAUGCCCAAAUUCCCAAAUAUUGUUUAUAAAUGUUUGUUUUCAUUUAAAUGGUGUUCAUUAUAAAUGGUAACGAUCAAGUCAAUUUCUUUCUAAAGAAAAAAAGGAGGAAUAGGAUAUAGAAAGGAA